rnacentral:rRNA from 1 species
UACGUAGGGCGCAAGCGUUGUCCGGAAUUACUGGGCGUAAAGAGCUCGUAGGUGGUUUGUCGCGUUGUUCGUGAAAACUCACAGCUCAACUGUGGGCGUGCGGGCGAUACGGGGCAGACUUGAGUACUGCAGGGGAGACUGGAAUUCCUGGUGUAGCGGUGGAAUGCGCAGAUAUCAGGAGGAACACCGGUGGCGAAGGCGGGUCUCUGGGCAGUAACUGACGCUGAGGAGCGAAAGCGUGGGGAGCGAACAGG